rnacentral:misc_RNA from 1 species
CCAGAAAAUAUGUGCAUCAUCUUCCAUAACCAAAAAGCAAGCUUGUUUGUUCAAAUAUUUACAUGUCAAUAGUGGGUAAUAAGCAUACAUGGCGGCCAAAAAUUAUUUGAAACAGGCCACUUAUGCAUUCCCAGGAAAAGAAUACCCACAAACAUGACACCUAAGAACAAACAUGACACCUAAGAACUUCAAACAGAAAAAAUCACCUUCUACACUAGAAGCUUAGCCAGGUUGGCAUCAGUGCUCGCUGUUACAGAAAAGGAUAGGUCAAAAAGAAAAUGAGGUUUCCUCUGCCUCGUAUAUAAAUGUGAAUAGACACAAACAACUUGGUGGGAUUGCCGAAAUUUCCUUGCAGAAAUGCUGGAGCCCUGGUAUGGUACCAUUGCCACAGGAACCUGACCAAGUUAUUGUUAGCUUUGAUCCACUCAAUGAGCUACUCAUGAUAUGGUCUGCCCAUAAAUUUGGCUUGCAGGGAAUGGACUCAAAUCUCCCGUCUCCCUUAUUAUUCGCAGACAAGACCACAAGAACUCAAUGUCCAUCAAGAUUUAGUACAGGCGCCCUCUGCACUUGGAAGUUUCACAAUGGCAAGGAUAUCCUUCUCCAGGCAGCAGAUCAUACAGAAAAUUGUACGUUAGUUCUUCACCAGAAGCUAUGUCUCGACUUGCAUACAGACCAAUAUGAGCAUGCUGAGAAUCCAUGCUGUUGAUAAGAACUUGGUGGUUCAUGAGAUUUGGCAUGCAGCUGUGAUUGAUGAACCGUGAAACAUUCCCAUUCUUGGUGGCAUCAAUCACAUAUUUGACCUGUCCUUCGAUCAAUCUGCUCAUAUCAUUGGCACGAGCAUCAAUGUCGUACAUAUACCUGCAACCUUGUUCACCAUAUCUGCCACGCCUUUCAUAUGCCUCCUUCUCAUCUAAAACCUCCCCAAUAUAUUCACACACAAAUGUGCCACGUAGGAUUGGUUCGACUGUCCUGACAGCCCAUCCCUUAUUCUUUGUUUUAAAGAUUUCCAGCUUUACUCGUAUUCCGUUCUGCAAAACCCUAUUUGGGCAGUUUUUACUGCACCUGCACAUGUGAUUGCACUCAUAAACAAGGUAACCCUCCUGCACAUUUUGCAAGGAAAAUUUGAAAAUGUCAAUUUCACUAGGAAAGCAACCAUUCACACAUAAUCUAAAAUAGAAGUGAACAUGAAUAAACACCCCAUCUGCAGGUCACAUAGAAUUUGUUCAUAGCAAUGAAAUGUAUGGUACAAAAUUUACAUGUUUAUGUAAUGGAGAUCUCCACUAGGAGCGGAAACAUAAAAUCUCAUGAUCUUGUAAACCAACAAAUUAAAGUUACUUAUCAUCCUAUCAAAGGAAAUCUGCACCAAUAUUAGAUGCCUAGAUACAUGAACACUACCUCUCUUUGCAGUCACACGUAAAUAAUUCAACACAAGGCAAGAAACAGAAAGUUAGGAACUGCACAAAUUAAUCAACAUUACAUAAACUCCCAAAAGAAGAACAUGCUAACAAACACCUUUCAGAAAAAUAUGCAAGUCCAGGGCUUCCAGCAGCUUAAGCUUAAGAUCAAGCAUUCAAUGAGACACAGUCAUAUAAAGGAGUUCAGAAACCAAGAUUAAGCAUGUCAUUCAGUAAUUAUUGACAAAGUUAGAAUUGCAGUACCUCCAAUAUAAUCCGCCCUUUAUCAUCAUAUGGGAACCUGCCAUGCAUAAAUUUCCCAUAUAUAUCUCUUGCAUCCUCAUAGUCAGUAUCAAAGAGAUAAACAUGAUCACAUGUUUCAGGAGAGCAUAAUGAAUCAGGGCAAGCACACCCCAAUUGCAAAUUCUCAAUAACAUGAUUGUGAGAUUGAUCAUGCAAUGGUCUUGUGAUAUAGGUAAAGCUUUUCCAAGGCAUGGGGAACUUAGUAGUUUGACCGUUAGAACAAUCUGCAAAGACAUUAAGAGAUGCUAGGACGUCCUCAUCUAUUACACAAGCUAUUGGAAUCAAUUCCUUCCCAAAGCUUAUAUCAUUGCACAAGACAGUGGACUUUUGUCUAGGAAUCUCACUAAAAUCACACAAAUCAAUUACAUAGUGGCAUUCAUCCACUUCCCACGCAUUGCUCAUAUGGUCAGAUGAAUGUGCUGACUGUUUACCUACAAAACCAUUAUGAAGAGGCAUCAAGGGUGGCAGUAAUCCUGGGUCCUUAAAACUCUUGCAUCCUCUAGGACAAAUAAACCCCUCUUGGUGCCACUUCACUCUAAUAUUAUGCUCGCUGCAAAGUUUGGCUGCCUUGAGAUACAAACGUUCUGGCAAAACUCCAUAUUUCCCCUCCAGUGAGGCCUUUAGGCUCACCUUACAACAAGCAGAGCGUGCAGCAGCUAAUAUGUCAAGGUUAUUGGGACGAGGUUUAGUUUUCUCAAUCUCAGAAAACAAUAUGUUUGCAACUGCUGAGCAUUGAAAUUCUGCCAAUCUACCAAGAGUUGCAAGAUCAGUUACCUGAGACUGUACACUUAAUACCCCAAUGUUGAGCGACUUUGAUGCCUGGAUACGUUUCUUCAUACUAGCACUUCCCCUGUUCCUGAUCCUAUAUGUUGCAGCUCCCAAAACUUUCUUAAAUCUAGGACGGCUAAGUCUUCCAGAUUUUAAUCUGUAAGCAUAAUAACGAACCCCCCUUUUUGGGUGCCGAGAGCUGAAUAGAUUCGGUCCCAUAUGAGCAGCCUGAUGGUGCCGGCCAAGGUCAGGUAGCAAAUCAAACUUCAAGCCACAAAACUUGCAUAUGAACUUUCGGAUACCCCCUAAAUUCUCAGAGUUAUUUUCCACAGAAGCUUUAUUGUCCUGUUCAAGUUUCUGCAGAGAAUCCUCUUUUUCUUCUCCUGAAGGCAGAUUAUCCGGUUGAGCCACUUUUGAUAACCUGAAUUCAGCAGGAUGGACUGAGAGAACAUGUAACCAUAACUCUUCAACAUUCCCAAAGUGGCUGCCACAAGGAAUGCAACAAAGAAGCAUGCAUUGUUCGACAAAUUGCACAUGGUGUCUUUCUUGUACAUGGGUUUCCAGAAGUUUCCUGUUAGUAAAUGAGUCCAGGCAGAUGGCGCACGCAUAACCUCUAAAAAGCCAUUGUGCUUCCUUUUUGUGAUUGUCCAUCCAGUGGUUGCCAAGCUCUUGGUCAUCAAGAAACUUCUCUGAGCAAAAUUUGCAUUUAAAUGAUUUUUCAUCAUCAUGGCCACUAUCAGCAGCCAAGGGCAAAAUUGCUGAUUCUUCCAUGACAGAGGAAGAAACAUGUACAUCUUCAUCAGCACUGAAGCCCCAUAUUUUUGUGAGUCUCUCUUUUUCAGUGCAAACCAACUUCAAUAAGAGUUCUCCAAUGCUGAAAUCUUUAGAAGCUUCAGACAAGGCCCACUGAAGUUGAAUUUCCAUAGGAACUGGGUUUCUUAGGGAUAAGAUGCUUUUGAAGAGCUUGUAGAAAAGCUCACAAGCACAAUGUAAACUCAACUUUUGAUCCAAAGAAUGGCAAUCCUUUAAAAGAUCUAUGAAUACUUCUUUAGGUAUUAUUCUACUUUUACCAUUCCUUGCACGUUUAAGCCAACUUGGGAUGUGUUUAUCACAAUAUAAUGAAUAACGCUUUAUAGUGUCUUGACAAGGGGUAUUAUAAUCAAGAGGAUUUGAGCCUAUGCAGUUUAACACCUCCUUGCCAUUAUGGUCCUGGACAGAAUGCUCAAGCUUCUCAGUUAACAUGUUCCUUCCAUGGAAGGCAUCUCCAUCCAUGAUUGAGACAGGCUCCACUUGAAGAGGACUUUCCACUUCUCCCAUCAAUACAAUAUCUUUGCAGUGUGUGGCCUCUGAACCUGGAAUAAUCUGCUCAUGCUUUCUCUUAAGUAUAUUUUCAGGUGAAUUUGAGGUAUUUAUUGUAUCAAUCCGGGGUCCGUGUUUCUUGCAGAAUGAGGAACCUGGUAGAGAACGAUGUUUACAUCGGGUUCCAAGAACAGUGGUGCCUUCACACAUUGGACUAUUAACAGGAGGACUUGCCUCUGCCCUGGUGGAGCUGCCAAUGAAACGAGUGGCUAAAUGUACACAACAAUAAACAUCACCAUCAUUUGCCCAUCUAACACACUGCCUUCCUUUCGAUUCAAUAAAAGCAAUACAUUGCCGAUUCUUAUUCCCAGCAUCUAUGGUUUUCUUAUCCAAAACUUCAUUUAUAGGAGUCCUUUCAAUAUCUUUGGUCUGCAUGAGUUCAGAGUUUCCAGCUUCAACUACAAUUUUUUCCCAUUUGUCAGUCACACUACAAGGAGACUCUGUAGGUGCAGCUCCCUCUCUAAAAUAUUCCUCUUUAGGAAGCCCUGAUGUUACAGUAGCAGCGUUUAUAAUGUCUCGAUUAUUGAAGAACUCAGAGUCAAUUUCAACAGUCAUAGUUUGAAGUGGACUGCUUGUUUCCACCUGGGAAGCAUGUGACUCUGCACGGCGCACUUCAAGCUUAGGCCUCUUCCUGCCAACUUGAAGACUCAUGGUUGAGGGACUGUCACAGCUUCUCUUCUCUACAUCACCGCUACUAGAUACAGGAUGAGAUGUUGAGAACCAUUUCAUAACUUCAUGCUUCCAGGUUUUCCACUCAGAACCUAAUGUUGGCUGCACCGGUGCAUUCCAGAGAGAGUUGACUUCAUUCCAUAGGAUAGAAUCAGACAAUUCCUCCCUCAGCAAUUCAAUAGAUUCAGCACUUUGUGCAACCUGAGACCGUUUUACCCAAGAUUGAAAAGAAUGUUCAAGCCAAUCUGAUUUUAUGUAUUGCUGCAAUAUCAUAUUUUGAAGCUUCAAAAGCAUUCUUCCAAGAUCAGAAUAACCACUACAAUGUGAAGCCUCCAUUGCAAAUUCCUUCCAGACCAUCACAUUACGAGCAGUGUCUAUCAGUGCCUCAGUAUGAAAUUGAUCGACGAUAUUUAGCAUACCAACAGCUAGCUUUUGCAUUAUAAACCGCCGUGCAACAUUCAAAUCCUUAACCAUUUUAAGUCCAAUUUUAUGCGUCCUAUAUGCAAUAGGCUGUGGGAAUUCAUUGAUUGGUCGGACAAGCAGCAUAUCUGCCCAGGAGUAAUUCCUAGUAUGCGGAAAAAAUAUCACAAAAUACUUCUUUCGAUCGUGAGUUGGUUUCGCUCUCAAAGUUGAUAAUGGCCAGUCUUCCCUUGCACAUCUAAUUCCUGCCUGCCACUUCCCUCUCCACUUGACCCACAAUGCCACAGAUUCAUCAUGUUCUAGCCACAUGGGCUCUGAAAGGGAUGACUCUCCAUCCCUACUGUUAGUUGGCUCACUUUCAAUAUUAUCCACAAUUACUUGAAAGUUUUCAGGGGCUUCAUAAGGUUCUGUACAAGAAUUCUGUACAUUCAAUUCAUCAUCUUCAAAAUCAUGAGAAUCACCAGAUAAUUUUUGGCUCUCCACCAGACAAUCAGAAUAUGAAGGCCCACUUUGAUGUCCUUUGGAGAGAGGCAAUCCAUUUACUGCCCCAUGGCCAUCACUUUGUCUCUCUAUUUGAGACCCUUCCCCAUUUAGUGAUAAGAUAUUUACUCCACCAUCCACCAUUUGAACUUGUUUUCCAUGUUCAAAGCUACUAGAUUCUCCAUCAUAAAUAAAAACCGUUCCUGAAUUCUGUUGAGCACAAUCAGAUUCUUCAACAUACUGAACACCAGAAGAAGGUAGCACUUCCAUGAUCUACACUAAAAUCUUUAAAGAGUAGUAGGGGAGAUCACCUUUCUCGCAAGGUGGUUGGUCUGAUGUUUUGGCUAUGGCUUAAGGCAGUGAAUUUUGGUUUUGUACCUUUAAUUUUAUUUGGGGGGGGGGGGGGGGUUUCCUAAUUGCAUAUAAAAUCUGUGAAAUAAGGCUCUUAUGGUAUGUGGGUUUUGUGACUAGACAAGGAAGGAGCUGUACCGUGGCCAAAAAAAAUUGGAAAAUUGGGGUAAACGUGUUGAAUUGUAUGCUGUGGUUGACAAUGAAAUCCUGAAAUUAAAGGAUCUUAAAAGACUCACUGGGUUCAAGGGAUCAGAUCAGAAGCUCUCCUCUACAGGGCUCUUUUUUUUUUUAUUUCCUUUUCUAUAUUAUGUGUUACAUGGGUUUUAUUAUAAGCAAAAAUAGGUUCUGGUUUUGAUUUUGGUUUUUGUUUGGAGGUAUGGUUUAAUUUUGGAUUUUCUGCUUCCAAGAUUACGACUUUUUUUCUUCAAGA